AUUGAACGCUGGCGGCAUGCCUUACACAUGCAAGUCGAACGGCAGCGGGGACUUCGGUCCGCCGGCGAGUGGCGAACGGGUGAGUAAUGUAUCGGAACGUACCUUUCAGUGGGGGAUAACGUAGCGAAAGUUACGCUAAUACCGCAUAUUCUGUGAGCAGGAAAGCAGGGGAUCGCAAGACCUUGCGCUGAUUGAGCGGCCGAUAUCAGAUUAGCUAGUUGGUGAGGGAAAGGCUCACCAAGGCGACGAUCUGUAGCGGGUCUGAGAGGAUGAUCCGCCACACUGGAACUGAGACACGGUCCAGACUCCUACGGGAGGCAGCAGUGGGGAAUUUUGGACAAUGGGGGCAACCCUGAUCCAGCCAUGCCGCGUGAGUGAAGAAGGCCCUCGGGUUGUAAAGCUCUUUCGGCCGGGAAGAAAUCGCAUGGGUUAAUACCCUGUGCGGACGACGGUACCGGCAUAAGAAGCACCGGCUAACUACGUGCCAGCAGCCGCGGUAACAC
rnacentral:rRNA from 1 species